AACGCACCUUGCGCUCUGUGGUUAUUCCGCAGAGCAUGUUUGUUUGAGUGUCGCGAUACUUCUCAACCCCGCUUUAUUAAUUUAAAGUAGUUUGGGCUUGGAUCAUGAUUGUUGCCGGCUUAAUUGCCAGGCUCGAUUGAAAUACAACAAGCUGGAUGAUGCUAUUAGCGGCUUGAACCUAACGUUGUAAUUACUAUUCGUUAGGCUACGCUUUCAGUAACAAUGAGCUUACCAAUUCAUUAAGAACUUUAUUGUUCAAUUUGACCUCAAAUCAAGCAGGACUACCCGCUGAACUUAA
rnacentral:misc_RNA from 1 species